rnacentral:rRNA from 1 species
UACGUAGGGUCCGAGCGUUGUCCGGAGUUACUGGGCGUAAAGAGCUCGUAGGCGGUUUGUCGCGUCUGCUGUGAAAACCUGAGGCUCAACCUCGGGCCUGCAGUGGGUACGGGCAGACUAGAGUGCGGUAGGGGAGAUUGGAAUUCCUGGUGUAGCGGUGGAAUGCGCAGAUAUCAGGAGGAACACCGAUGGCGAAGGCAGAUCUCUGGGCCGUAACUGACGCUGAGGAGCGAAAGCGUGGGGAGCGAACAGG